GGCUCAGAUUGAACGCUGGCGGAAUGCUUUACACAUGCAAGUCGAGCGGCAGCGCGGGGGCAACCCUGGCGGCGAGCGGCGAACGGGUGAGUAACAUAUCGGAACGUACCCUGUCGUGGGGGAUAACUAUCCGAAAGGAUAGCUAAUACCGCAUACGACCUGAGGGUGAAAGCGGGGGAUCGCAAGACCUCGCGCGAUAGGAGCGGCCGAUAUCGGAUUAGCUAGUUGGUGGGGUAAAGGCUCACCAAGGCGACGAUCCGUAGCUGGUCUGAGAGGACGACCAGCCACACUGGAACUGAGACACGGCCCAGACUCCUACGGGAGGCAGCAGUGGGGAAUAUUGGACAAUGGGCGCAAGCCUGAUCCAGCAAUGCCGCGUGUGUGAAGAAGGCCUGCGGGUUGUAAAGCACUUUCAGUGGGGAAGAACAGAUUCGGGUCAAUACCCCGGAGCCCUGACGUUACCCACAGAAGAAGCACCGGCUAACUCCGUG
rnacentral:rRNA from 1 species